UCUAAUAUGACAGAUUAAUGUAAUGGAUUUAAGCCCCAUUUAUAAAGUACUUCACUUUUUUUAGAA
rnacentral:tRNA from 1 species